rnacentral:siRNA from 1 species
UAUUCGGUCGAGACGCCCCACCA